rnacentral:pre_miRNA from 1 species
ACAUAGAAACAUAAUUGAGUGCAGCGCUGUCGAAACCGAUCCCGAUCCCAGUGCUGGGCCAUCAAGCAAGAAAUCCCGGAGACGGGGAACCGGUUUCAUCAACGCUGCACUCAAUGAUGUUUCUGG